rnacentral:rRNA from 1 species
UACGUAGGGGGCGAGCGUUGUCCGGAUUUACUGGGCGUAAAGAGCGUGUAGGCGGCCAAGCAGGUCCGUUGUGAAAACUGGAGGCUUAACCUCCAGACGUCGACGGAAACCGCGUGGCUAGAGUCCGGAAGAGGAGAGUGGAAUUCCUGGUGUAGCGGUGAAAUGCGUAGAUAUUCGCAAGAACACCAGUGGCGAAGGCGGCUCACUGGCCCGAUACUGACGCUGAGGCACGAAAGCGUGGGGAGCAAACAGG